GGUGAACGCUGGCGGCGUGCUUAACACAUGCAAGUCGAACGGAAAGGCCCAAGCUUGCUUGGGUACUCGAGUGGCGAACGGUUGAGUAACACGUGGGUGAUCUGCCCUGCACUUCGUGAUAAGCCUGGGAAACUUGGUCUAAUACCGGAUAGGACCACAUUUUGGAUGGUGUGGUGGAAAGUUUUUCGGUGUGGGAUGAGCUCGCGGCCUAUCAGCUUGUUGGUGGGGUAAUGGCCUACCAAGGCGUCGACGGGUAGCCGGCCUGAGAGGGUGUACGGCCACAUUGGGACUGAGAUACGGCCCAGACUCCUACGGGAGGCAGAAGUGGGGAAUAUUGCACAAUGGGCGCAAGCCUGAUGCAGCGACGCCGCGUGGGGGAUGACGGCCUUCGGGUUGUAAACGCCUUUCGCUAGGGACGAAGCGCAAGUGACGGUACCUGGAGAAGAAGAACCGGCUAACUACGUG
rnacentral:rRNA from 1 species